UGGGUUUCUUUUUCUUUUUUUGUGCGUGUGUUUGCGUGCGCGCGCGCGGCUUGUCCCCCUCCGUCGCCGGUGGCCGAAAGAAACGGCGUCGGCGCCCGAGAGCUGCUCUCCGUCCCCAGUUUCCUCUCGUCUCCUCUCCGCAGCAGCGUCGCCUCCAUCGGCGCGAUGUCCGCGAACAGGAACCUGAAGCAAGUGAGGAUUGAGAACAGCUCCCCGGCGGCCGCCCCGCCGAUCAGCAUGGUGGGCGGCGGCAACAUGAAAGGGCUGCGCGGUCUGGAGCCUCCGCCGGACAACGAAGCGGCGGCAGCCAUGGUGAUGGUGAAGGAGGAAGAGGAGCAGGGCGGCGGCAUCACCGUCGACAUCAAGAGCUUCUUGAAGCCCGGCGAGAAGAGCUACACGCAGCGGUGCCGCCUCUUCGUGGGGAACCUGCCCACCGACAUCACCGAGGAGGACUUCAAGCGCCUCUUCGAGCGCUACGGGGAGCCCAGCGAGGUCUUCAUUAACCGGGACCGCGGCUUCGGCUUCAUCCGGCUGGAAUCCAGGACACUAGCUGAAAUUGCAAAGGCAGAACUCGAUGGAACUAUUUUGAAGAGCAGACCACUUCGAAUUCGUUUUGCUACUCAUGGAGCUGCUUUAACAGUAAAGAAUCUUUCACCUGUUGUUUCCAAUGAGCUUUUGGAACAAGCUUUCUCUCAAUUUGGCCCUGUGGAAAGAGCUGUUGUUGUAGUAGAUGAUCGUGGUAGAGCAACUGGGAAAGGUUUCGUAGAGUUUGCUGCAAAACCCCCAGCACGUAAAGCUCUAGAAAGAUGCAAUGAUGGAGCAUUCCUGCUGACGACAACCCCUCGACCAGUAAUUGUAGAACCUAUGGAGCAAUUUGAUGAUGAAGAUGGGCUGCCUGAGAAAUUAAUGCAAAAAACACAACAAUAUCAUAAGGAAAGAGAACAGCCACCACGUUUUGCUCAACCUGGAACAUUUGAAUUUGAGUAUGCUUCACGAUGGAAGGCUCUUGAUGAAAUGGAAAAGCAACAGCGGGAACAAGUUGAUAGAAACAUUAGAGAAGCUAAGGAGAAACUGGAGGCAGAGAUGGAAGCAGCUCGACAUGAGCACCAGUUAAUGCUGAUGAGACAAGAUCUUAUGAGGCGUCAGGAAGAAUUAAGACGUUUGGAAGAACUUAGAAAUCAAGAGCUACAGAAACGAAAGCAAAUACAAUUGAGACAUGAAGAAGAACAUAGGCGCCGUGAAGAAGAGAUGCUGCGCCAAGAGGAAUUGAGAAGACAGCAGGAAGGAGGAUUUAAGUCCAAUUUCAUGGAUAAUCAAAACUUUUGACUUGCACAUGACAGCUUCCUAAAUAAACUUGAGAAAUACGAUUGGAAAGGACAUAAUGGGGCUACAAAGUUGCUUGAAAUACGGCACAUAAAAGGAAAUGGUUAUGAUGCUGAAGUGCAGUUGAAGAUGUACUUCAUGAGUGCUUUGUCCAAGGAAUAUAGCAGAGGAAAUUGAAUCCUUUCUUCAGUUUCAGGUAUCGUUCUUGCACCGUUCCCCAGUCUUCUUUGGGUUUCCAGAUUCAUGAUGGCUUAUUUCUGACUGUUUUACAUUUUUGUAAAGGGGAGAGGAAAAUUUCAAAGGGUUUUCUUUCUUUUUAUCUCUAAUGGGAAGAGGAACUUUUGCCUGCUGGAUUUUGCUGUGAUGAGUUGUGGGCCUGUAGAAACUGCUCUGAGAGGGGCAGGUGCAUAUUGAUCUCAAUAUGGACCUUUGAACAUUGGGUGUUCUAUGACCUCCCUUGGGAUGGUGUGGCUGCUUGAAGAAACAUGAAUGUUCUUGAUGCUGCUGUUUGCUCUCCCUUUAUGCUUCGGCAUUAAUAUUAGAUUGGCAAACUUCAAGUUUAUUACUGUGAAUUUAUCAUAUGUAAAACAGAUCAGCUGUCAUGUAAUUUGCAGUUCUGGGUUGUAUCUAGUGGUGGUCUUGCCUUGGAACAGAAAGCACUUCUGCUUAUGCAAAUUGGGGUAGACAGUUUUGCCUGUAAUUUUCCUUCCUAAAGGCUGAUCCAUGGCAGAAUGGAAUAUAAAUGGAACAUGACCAAAAUUCUGUAUCUAGACUCUUGUGGUUGCUGCAAAGGAAAAACCACAAUUGAAGUCAACCCACUGUUUCUAGGCCAGACAUCCCCAAACUGCUGCCCUCCUGAUGUUUAGGCCGUACAACUCCUAUGAUCCCUAGCUACCGUGUUUCUCCAAAAAUAAGACACCGUCUUAUAUUCAUUUUUCCUUAAAAAAACACACACGGUGGCUUAUUUUCAGGGGAUGUCUUUUUUAUUAUUAUUAAGUAUGGUAUUUUAACCUAGAAGGUUAAACUGCCUAUCACUAUGGCUUAUUUCCGGGGUAUGGCUUAUUUUCGGAGAAACACGGUAACAGGACCAGUGGUUGGGGAAGAUGGGAAUUGUAGUCCAAAACAUCUGGAGGGCCAAAGUUUGGGGAUGCCUGUUCUAGGCUCUGUGUUCCAAUUGGUAUGAAGAAGUGCUAUUGAUUUGUGUUUUUCUUGCUUCCUAGUAGAUGUAUGCAAGGUAUAUUAUGGGAUAAGUUACACUAUGUGGAGUUGCAGGCAAUCAACUACUGUACCAGAGGUAGUCGGGACUACAAAAGGAGGAACUAUUUGAGGAGGGUAAGUAGCUUAAAGCUGCCAGAGAUAAAACAAGAAUGACAUUUAAAUUUCCAGUGUGGAGAUUCUUUCUGGUGUGCUUUAGACAGUUAAUGGGUGCUUGUGAUAUAGAACCUGCCAAUCAUCUCUUCUUUAUAUAACAAGUGCUGUGUGGAUUCCAUGUAACUCAUGAUUUAAUAGUGCAAGCAUGAGUGCUAUGUGAUGGGAAAAAAGUAGGACUGUUAACAGAUUUAAAAUGAAACCAAAAUAAAAUAAUAAUAAUGCACUUUGAGUGGUUCUCAACAUAAUAAAAGCACAGAAAAUAUCAAACAUUAAAAACUUCCCAUUACAGGACAGCCUUCAGAAAGUUCUGUAGUUGUUUGACAUCUGAUGGGAGGGCAUUCCCUAGGGUGGGCGCUACUGCCAAGAAGGCCCUCUGUCUGGUUCUCUGUAGCGUCCCUUAUCGCAGUGAGGGAACCGCCAGAAGGCUUCCUGAGCUGGAUCUCAGUGUCUGGGCUGGACGAUGGAGGUGCUCCUUCAGGUAUACAGCGCUGUUUAGGUCUUUAAAGGUCAGCACCAACGCUUUGAAUUGUUCUCGGAAAUCCUGGGAGCCAAUGUAGGUCUUUUAGGACUGAUGUUAAUGUGGUCCUGGCGGCUGCUCCCUGUCACCAGUCUGAUAGCCGCUUGAUGUAUUCACUUGAGUUAUAAACAAAUAUAUGGUGUGCGGUGUUUAAAAUCUCAGAAGCUGGAGUCACAGUACUUUACUGUCCUCCACAACUUAUUAUUUCUUUCACUGGCUACUACUUUUGGGGCUGGCAUACUAUCUUUCGCUCUUUUCUCUUCUCCCCCACAAACAUCUGGCUUUGGAAACUAGGCAGCAGAAUUGAAUGUGCAAAAAACCAGGCAAGUGUGUCUUACUGCAUUCUGGCCAUGGGUUUUUGAUUUUCAAGUAAAUCUUAGAUUGUAAAGCUUGCCUGUGCUAAAUUGUAACCAGUAGCCAGAUUGCAGCAAGGCUUAGUUCCCCAUCAAGUGCAACUUGAUCAUUUGAGAAACAGAGCUCUUAAUAAAAAUAAGAAUGCUAGUAUUGAAUAAACCACUAAACACCCCAAAAUCGGUGUAUGAGAAAACAGAAAUAGGACAAAACCACUAUAAGGCAGUGUAAAAAAAAUUCACAGAAACCAGCAAGAUAUUUAUUUGCUUCAUUUUAUUUUAGAAAUGCUUAGAUGCUUAGGAAGUUGAGGUAAUUAUAAUCUGUUUUGUAUUUUAAAUUUUGUGUUUUAAAGCAGUGGUUCUCAAUUAGCUAAAUACUGUAGACUCCCUGUUUUUCAAGCCAUGGACCCCCUACUUUUUGACAAUUUUGGUAUCUCUAUGGUAGUUUUUUGUUAUGUGAAUGGUGCCACAGAUCCUGGUGUGUGUGUGUGUGCAGACCACCAAUUGGGAACCACUGUUUUAAUUUUUGUAAUUUUUAUCUUGAUUUUAUUGUUCCUGGAGGUUUUUAAGCAGAGGUUGGAUGGCCAUCUGUCAUGGAUGCUUUAGCUGAGAUUCCUGCAUUGCAGGGGGUUGGACUAGAUGACCCUUGGGACCCUGGAACUCUUACUAUUCUAGAAGAUUAAAUACAGAAAUAUUAAACGGGUUCAAAGACAAUAAAGCUAAUAAAGCUUUAAACUGUAUUUAAAUUGCUGAAUUUAUAAACUUUAGAUACUUCUGGAUACUUACCAGUAGUUGAGUAGUUUCAGCUAUUUACAUGGGUAACACUUUUGCACUUCUAAAUAAAUAAGCACUCAACGGCCUACUUUGAUAUGAUUGGAAAUUGUAGAAGUUUGUGUGUGUACAUUUAAAAAGCAAAUACUGGGUUUUUUUUGGGGGGGGGGGGGUAAAAUGUGAACAAUUCAGCAGAGGUAUGAAAGAAGGCCAGCUAGAGGUAAGGUGCACUCAUUGUGCCAAAAGUUUUGCAAAUAACUAUCUUGCUAGAGAUGAUCGUGCAAACGUUUGGAGUUGUUGUUUUUGUUCUUAACAGGCUGGAUAAAGCUGGAAAAUGUCAUUCAACUGUCAGUGUGAAGAAUGCUUCAUGGGAGUUUGAGCAGAAACUAUUUGACUCCAUGUACCAUAUUGAUCUGCUCAUUUACCUAAAAAAAUAAAUCCAGUAUCUACAGUAUUACGGAAUGUUCUCAUUAACUGCUUUCAAACAAAACUGACCUGUUUUUCUCUAUUCUGGUAAGUUAUUUGGGGACAAUAUAUCCUAUCAGUCUAUAUCAAGGUCCCAAAACUAAGGCCCAAUCUAAAUCCAGCCCACGGACUGUCCGGGAAUCAGCAUGUUUUUACAUGAGUAGAAUGUGUCCUUUUAUUUAAAAUGCAUCUCUGGGUUAAAUUGGGGCAUAGGAAUUCGUUUAUAUUUUUUUCUUCAAAAUAUAGUCCGGCCCCCCACAAGGUCUGAGGAACAGUGGACCGGCCCCCUGCUGAAAAAGUUUGCUGACCCCUGGUCUAUAUGAACCGAACAAAUGAAUUUGUUGUUUCAAAAAUAGAAGCACUACUGCUUUGUUUAUAGUAAUCAACAUCCAGCUGGGAUGAAUAUACCUACUGCUUAUACUUCCCUUUCACUUUCCUACCUGUUCAGGAGAGCUUGUUCAUUGGAAUCAGAAGCAUUCAAAGUUCAGGUAUGGUUCUAGCAGUUUUGAUUUGAGGCUUUAUUUUCUGCUUUGUGCAGAAAGUUCAUCCUCACUGAACUGCAUUCAUAUCACAUGGAGCUUACCUCAAUGCCAAAUGCAACACAGAUCAUGCCCUGGUGGUAAUCAAGAUCAUUCUCCAGCCAAAAAGAACCGAAAGCAGAAAGUGCAGCACUUUACAAUUAUUACAACAUGUAGACAAAUCAAUCAAGUGGCCCACCAGGAGCUUCAGCAAUUUUCAAGUGAUAGGGGGAAGUUAGGUGAGACACAUAAGUACUAUCAAAGGUGUUAGCAACUGAAAUUUCCUUCGGAAAAAGUAUUUAUAGAUGGUUAUCCUUUAAACAAAUAUGGGACAACAAAGUUUUCUGUUCCACAACAUAUACCAGAUUGAAGCUGCCUUUUGGGACGUACAUAUUUCACAGAAAUAUCAUUUCUCAGCCACAAUAUCUUAGUUACCACCAGUCUUUUAUUAAAGCAGAAACCUAUCUAUAUUCCUGUAUUUAAACUGCAAUAGCAAAUGUAGCUCUGCCUGCUUUAAAAAACAUUAGUUUAAAUACAAACACUGAAGUAGGACAAAAGUUUAGCAUCUACAAUCAAGAACUAGACUUUUAAAGAGUCUUCAUCAUUUUAAGGGUUUUGCAACCCCACAUUGUGCAAAUGCUGAAAUACGCAGUCUGAACUUUGAAAUGUAGAAUUACAAUCAUUGGCACAAAUGCCUAUAUACAAAUGAAAUAAAACCAUCUUGCCCACUUUCUUAAGCAGCACAUGACUGCUAACCUGCACAAAAAUUCACAUGUAAAAUGGAGACCAGGUAAAAAAGAAACAGAUUGAACCAAUUAUCAGAGUACUGACUGCAGCAGGAUUUCCCAAACUGCUUGAUCAGAGUCAAAAAGGAAGAAGUAAACAAAUACUUCCAAGAAAAUAACUUCAUCAACAGCAUGAAGUUCAUGAGGUUAUGGCAGCUGCACUCUGUAUGCACCUAUCAGCAGCUUCACCUGUAAGAAAAAAAAAUGCCAUUGACCAUCCAGUUAAAUGCUGAAAAGGCAUGGAUGACAUACAAGUACAUGUAUCUUCUCAAAGCCCUGCUACCUUCACUCUCAACAGUGAUUAAAGUAUGGGUUUAGUUAUUUUGCACAAUGAACACAUUUUACACAGGUAUAUUAAAACAUUCUGAUGCAUGAAGCAACUCCUAGUCUGAGGGCCCUGCAAAAACUACUUCAUCAAGCAGUAGCUCUUGCAUUUUGUUACCACAAUACACUUUGGGGACCCUGUCAGGGUAAAAAAGCAGGGGGGGAAAUUAUUUUAAAAUACAGACUAGUUUUAUAAUUUAGUAAAGGAAUAUAUUAGUACAUAUUUUUUGUUUUAUUAUGCCUUUUGUCUGCUGGUUUUGUGUUUUUGUGAACCGCCCAGUGAUCUUUGGAUGCAGGGCAGGGUACACAUUUAAUAUAUAAACGUAUCUGCAUUGUUUCCAACCACUUCACGAACUGGGUAGAUCCACUGAACUUGUUGGCGAUGACUAACUUGAGCUGAUUUAUUUCCUUAGCUCUUCUGAAUGUGAGUUGGUGGUACAUGCACCUGGACUUGUAUUUCUCACCUUGGCAGUAGGAGCUUCUGCCAAUCGUAUGAAGAGUUUGUUAAGGCCUGGAAUAGGACUGAAGGAGUAAAUGAAAUGACUGUCCUAAAAAUAAAAAAGAAAGAAAAGAGCCCAUUAUUCUUUGCCCACAUGUAAUAAUAUUAUGCUCCUGGUUAGCUAGACAAGCUGCAAGAGAACCAUAAACUUUUCACCUGCAACCCCUUUUUGAACUACGUGUGUGUGUGUGUGUGUAACUAAGCUGAGCAAAGACCCAAUGGUGGCCAUAAGUUUAACGGGAAACAAAGAACUCUGCUGCUGCAACAUCACAUUCUUGGAUGGUUCCCUCCCUGCUUGUUCACCUACACAGCCUCGCACUGAAUUGAAUAACAAACUCUAAUGCCAAGUCUGGGAGCUCUGGCAUGAUGGAGAGCACACUGAAGAUCUUGGAGACAGAUGGCAGGGGUGGCAGCGUGAGAGACAUCUGAAGAUGGGUUAGGGUCUCGCCAUGUUCUUACAGACAGGCUUUAACAAGCUACAAUGAUAGACCCAUUGCUAGCUCUUAGUCAUAAAAAGGUAAAGGGACCCCUGACCAUUAGGUCCAGUCGUGACCGACUCUGGGGUUGCGCGCUCAUCUCGCAUUAUUGGCCGAGGGAGCCGGCGUAUAGCUUCCAGGUCAUGUGGCCAGCAUGACAAAGCCGCUUCUGGCAAACCAGAGCAGCACAUGGAAACGCCGUUUACCUUCCCGCUGUAGCGGCAGCCCCUGCUGGUAGCUGGGAAGCAACAGGAAGAGGGCUACUGCCUUCAUGCCUUGUUUGCAAGCUGCUCUCUGAGGCAUCUUGCCAGGGUGGCAAUAGGAUGCUAGAUGAGGUGAAGCUUCGGUCUGGUUCAACAGAGCUGUUGCGUUCUUAACUGGUUUUGAUCCCUGGAAUUCUUAACGUGGGUGGAGAUGAGCUUAAAAGCUUCCUUUCAUAAGUCCAUGUGAAGAGAGGUGGACCUUGUCUAUAGCCCUGCCAAUUCUGUUGGGCAGACACUGGCAGGGGACUUAGCGAAGGGUUGUCUUUGUAGCUGCUCACAUUAAAGGAGCCCAGAGCAGAGAGGGUGUGAGGCUGGGCAGAAUUGGCACCAAUGCCAAAGUAAUAUUAAUUAGCCUAGCCACUCACCUGGAAGAUCCGCGAAGAGAUAUGCUCUUUCCACGAAGGAUGAGAAGCUCUGUUGGGCUGGGAUGGGAGGGUGAGAGGAUGAGAAGGAGGCAACGGGUACCUUGGCUACUCUAGGUAUUGAGCUAUAGGACAGAAGGGAGCAAGACCUCCACAUCCUGUUCAUUAUUUAUUAUUCUUCAUUAUUAUUUACUACUACUAUUAUAACAAUAUUUAUAGCCCACCUUUCCUCCAAGGAGCAUAAGAUGGCACACAUGGUUCUCCACCUCCAUUUUAUCCACACAUCAAUGCUGUGAGGUAGCUUAUGCUGAGGUACUGUGCCUGACUCAAGUUGAGCUUCACAGCUGAGUGGGGAUCUGAAUCACAGGCUCACUAGUGCAAUACUAACCACUGUACCACACUGGCACGCAAGAGUGUCCUAGGAAAAGAGCUGGUUUUUUAUCUUCUGGUAACAUGUCAUUUGCAAAGCAGUUGAAGAUGUCUUCUGCCCACCUUGCCAUCUGAUUUUCCAAGUAAAUACAGCUUUAAAAAACCCCACUGUGGAAUCUGCUUAGCUCUGCAGAUUUACCCCUACUCCAAAAUCAACUAAGAUCUGUGCCCAAAGUGCCUAGGAGGAAGUAAAAAGAAAAUCUGAACUCCAUUUAAUUUGAUUGUGCCUUCAAAACCAGAAAAAAACUAAAUGGGGAACUCUGUUGCUAAAAAAACUCUU